UGAACAGAAAAUGCCAAUACUAAAAUCAGGUAAUGAGAUAGGUCCUACUGCUCCGUGGAAAUUUAAGUUUUCAGGAACGAUAGGAUGUAAACAAUUACGACGAUCAUAGUAACAUCAAAAUGCCACAAAUCACGCCAUUUGUUUUGUGAUAAUAAGGAAACAAGCAUGGCCAUACACCAGAUUCACAUAUUUUGGAUGAUUGAUAGAUCCACAAUUUACAUUGCAGAGAGCGAAACAAAGCAUCAUUAAUCAUAUCCAUCCAUCAAUCGAUUAAUCAUACCACUAUACAGACCCUAGAUUAUCCAAAUCACACCGAAAAGAAAGCACAAAACAAAGUAGGAGGGAGCAAGCAAAGCGUAAAUGAAAAUAAAGAGAGAUCACAUGAUAGGUAAGGAAACAACAGACCAGAGAGUUAUUGUGUGUCAAAACUGUGGAUCCUGAGAAGAGGAGGGGGAGUAGAAAAACAGAAACUAUGAACAUGAACAGUGCAUUUUUCUUUUCAUUCAGUUCUAUUUUGCACAAGGGAACCUACUGUUCAUUACUUCUUUUCUCUCACCGGCACAUGUAAACAAAACUUGUCUAAAAGUUAAAAGAGCUUGUAUAUCCUAUAUCCAACUAAGUCUACAUCUAUGAUCUCUUUACAUCCUGAACUCCACAGGCUAUUUUAGCUGUCAAGGGGAGAGUAACAAUUGUCCAUGACUAAACUUAAUGUAUUUUGUUGGGCCAAUGAAUCCACCAAUAUCUCAGUUUUCUAGAUGGUUAUGAAUCCACCAGUAUCUCAGUUUUCUAGAAGGUAUCGCAAACCACAUGGAUAAGCAACAGAUCGAGUUAAUAUCAAUUACAAAGAAGGUCUUAAACGAAGGUUACCAAGGUGGUUUACGAGUUGUAGAGAUUUUGACAGGGAUGCAAAUGCUUGGAGGGAAGAUAUUAAGGACAUAGCAGAGUUCCCGUGAUUGAAAAGCCAGAUAAGAGAGGAAUGAGGAAAGAUGUAAAUUAAUUGUGGAGUUUCAAGUGAAAUGGAAAACUUACAGGUAUUACUGUAUUAGCAAUCUAGCAUCAUGCUUGUAAAAAGAAGUAUCUAAACUCUAAACAAGAAUGGCAGCAUGGGACUAAUAUGAUUUUACAAUUUUACUAGACAGGCUCAUUAUCAGAAGACUAACACCAUUGAUUGGUGAAAUCGGUUUAGUGGAAGAAUAAACGAACCCAAUGAAGCUAAAACAACCAUCGGUCUUGCAGGGAGGUAGAACUAUGGGAAUAUUUCCAAUAUCACUAGAUUAUAGCUUUGUGUAUCAGAAAAGGACAAUCUAAACAAGAACAGUGAAAUAGGAGCAAAUCAAUGACCACUCAUGGAGUACUUUAUGUUUAAUCGAUAGAGUUCUACUGGAUUACUCACUGUUAAAGCUGAAAUAUAUUUCUUGAAAGAAAUGCUCCAACAAAACUAAACCAUGUUUCCUGCAUCACAAGCAAAUCGAGCGGUAAUGUAAUUGCUUCUUCUGCAUAUAUUAUUACAUAAUUGAUUAUACUAACUGGUAGCUUAAAACAUGGCUAAAUUUGAAAUGCAACAUUACCGUUGCGGGCGACAGUACAUUAAAUGAUCCAUAGUAUUAACCAACAAGUUGAAAUACAAAUGGAAACAAAAAAACUGCCAAUGUACUCCCUCCGUUUCACAAAGUAAGUCAUUCUAGCAUUUCCCACAUUCAUAUUGAUGUUAAUAAAAGAUUCAUUACCAUCAAUAUGAAUGUGGGAAAUGCUAGAAUGACUUACAUUGUGAAACGGAGGAAGUAAUAACUAAAAUCCGGCAAUGAGAUAGGUCCUACAGCUCCCUGGAAAUUGAAGUUUUCAGGAAUGUGGUAGGAUGUAGUAAACAAUUGCAGUGAUAAUAGUAACAUCAAUAAGCCACAAAUCACGUCAUUUCUUUUCCGAUAAUAAGCCAGAUCCACAUAUUUUGAAUGAUAGAUAGAUCCACAAUUUACAUUGCAGUAUUGAACAGAGCGAAACGCAAAGCAUCAUUAAUCAGAUCCAUCCAUCAAUCGAUUAAUCACACCAUUAUCCAAACCCUAGGUUGUCCAAAUCACACCGGAAUGAAAACACAAAAUAGAGAGCAAGCAAAGCACAAAUCAGGAGAGAUCACAUGAUAGGUAAGGAAACGACAAGCAAGAGAGAGUUAUUAUGUGUCAAACUGUGGAUCCUGAGAGGGGGAGAGAGAGGGAGAGAGGGGAGAAAACCAGAAAUGACAAAUUAU
rnacentral:lncRNA from 1 species